rnacentral:misc_RNA from 1 species
CAUUUCAUAUUUUGUAUGAGCAGGUAUGUAAUUUACUUUUUCCUUAGCCUUAGAAUCUUGUUGAGUGUCUUCGGACCUACUUUAGUUGAGCUUCUUGUCACAUAUUCUGAAUUGAGAGGCCAUGCGAAGAAAAGGGGGGAAAAUUUUUUCCUCUCUUUGCUGAACCUCAUAUAUCUAUAUUUGGAGGAGUAAGCAUGCAUACUAUGCAAAUUUAAACAAUCUAUGAUUUGCAUUCUCAAAGUACUCUUUGUAUUGCAAGUGAAACAUUGUUGUCAAAACUAAAGUGCUACUGAAAUAGUAGCAGACAUAAUGUAAUAAUGGAGUCCACUCCAGACCACUCAUGUAGUAUGACCAUUUGUUUAUUGUUUUAGAAUGGAUUGAUAACUUAUUUCAUUAGUUCUCAGAG